ACACCGUUGGUGAAGUGGUUAUCAUGCUUGCCUUCCAUUUGAUUGGCUUAGCAAGCGGCUCGGGUUCGAUUCCCGAACGGUGUA
rfam:Lentinula edodes NBRC 111202 DNA, contig: scaffold1332.